GGAAGUAGCAGCAUCAGUUAAAGAAAGUUGGAAGGAGAACCUGAAUGCUGGAAUUGCUGAACAUUGGGAUAAAAGGGAAACAAAAAAUGAUGAAGUCCCUCACAAAGUGGUCUGGUGUGCCCACGGAUGCACAAGGAAAUCUGAUGGGAUGGAUCUCUG
rnacentral:lncRNA from 12 species